rnacentral:ncRNA from 1 species
UGAAAGUUUGAUUCUUGCUUAGAUAUUAGUUUUUUAAAAAAUUUACAUGCAAUUUUGAUAGUGUAAAUAAUUAUUAUAAAAUUUUAUUUUAUGUCGCAGUAACUAAUAUUAAACUACUUAUUAUUAAGGUUUAGUUAUUUAAAUUCAAGGCUUGAAUUAAUUUGUGCCAGCAUUCGCGGUUAUACUCUAAAGUUUAAUUAAUAUUUUUGGUGAAAAUUAAUUUUUAUUUUUUAUAUUAAAAUAAUAGAUUUUAUGGGGGUAAAAUCUUUAUUUUUAUAUUUAAAAUUAAUUAUUAUUAUCUCAAAGUAUUUUUUAUCACCUGGAUUAGAUACCCAGUUUUAUUUUUGGGGCUUUUCCAUAGUAGUAACUUUUAAAACUUAAAGAAUUUGGCGGUAAAUUAUUCUUUACAGAGGAACCUGUUUUAUAAUCGAUAGUCCACGUUUCUUCUUACUAAUUAUUUAUUUAUAUACCGUUGUUUUUAAAAUUAGUCUUAAGACUAAUUUUAAAUCUUUUAUAAGGAAAAAAUCAAAUCAAGGUUUAGUUAUUAAUUAGGAAAAAUUGGUUACAAUAAUUUAAAAUUACACUUUAUAUUUAUGUUGUAAAUAUAGUAAGUUGGAUUUGUAAGUAAAAUAUUUAUUUUAUCUCAUUUGGAAUAGUUCUAGUUUAUGUACACAUCGCCCGUCAUUCUCGUUAUAAGAUGAGACAAGUCGUAACAAAGUAGAUUUGCUGGAAAGGAGGUCUUGAAAG